AGCAGUCGCCACGGGAAUACGGAGGGUGCAAGCGUUAAUCGGAAUUACUGGGCGUAAAGCGCACGCAGGCGGUCUGACAAGUCAGAUGUGAAAUCCCCGGGCUUAACCUGGGAACUGCAUUUGAAACUGUCAGGCUGGAGUCUUGUAGAGGGGGGUGGAAUUCCAGGUGUAGCGGUGAAAUGCGUAGAGAUCUGGAGGAAUACCGGUGGCGAAGGCGGCCCCCUGGACGAAGACUGACGCUCAGGUGCGAAAGCGUGGGGAGCAAACAGGAUUAGAUACCCCGGUAUCCCUGUCUCUUAUACC
rnacentral:rRNA from 1 species